rnacentral:rRNA from 1 species
CCUACGGGUCGCACCAGUGGGGAAUAUUGCACAAUGGGCGCAAGCCUGAUGCAGCCAUGCCGCGUGUGUGAAGAAGGCCUUCGGGUUGUAAAGCACUUUCAGCGGGGAGGAAGGCGGUGAGGUUAAUAACCUCAUCGAUUGAGGUUACCCGCAGAAGAAGCACCGGCUAACUCCGUGCCAGCAGCCGCGGUAAUACGGAGGGUGCAAGCGUUAAUCGGAAUUACUGGGCGUAAAGCGCACGCAGGCGGUCUGUCAAGUCGGAUGUCAAAUCCCCGGGCUCAACCUGGGAACUGCAUUCGAGACUGGCAGGCUAGAGUCUUGUAGAGGGGGGUAGAAUUCCAGGUGUAGCGGUGAAAUGCGUAGAGAUCUGGAGGAAUACCGGUGGCGAAGGCGGCCCCCUGGACAAAGACUGACGCCCAGGUGCGAAAGCGUGGGGAGCAAACAGGAUUAGAUACCCCAGUAGUC